rnacentral:rRNA from 1 species
GACGAACGCUGGCGGCGUGCUUAACACAUGCAAGUCGAACGGAAGGGCCCUGCGUUUGUUGGGUGCUCGAGUGGCGAACGGGUGAGUAACACGUGAGUAACCUGCCCUUGACUUUGGGAUAACUUCAGGAAACUGGGGCUAAUACCGGAUAUGAGCUCCUGCUGCAUGGUGGGGGUUGGAAAGUUUCGGCGGUUGGGGAUGGACUCGCGGCUUAUCAGCUUGUUGGUGGGGUAGUGGCUUACCAAGGCUUUGACGGGUAGCCGGCCUGAGAGGGUGACCGGCCACAUUGGGACUGAGAUACGGCCCAGACUCCUACGGGAGGCAGCAGUGGGGAAUAUUGAAGAAUGGGCGGAAGCCUGAUGCAGCAACGCCGCGUGCGGGAUGACGGCCUUAGGGUUGUAAACCGCUUUCGCCUGUGACGAAGCGUGAGUGACGGUAAUGGGUAAAGAAGGCCCGGCUAACUACGUG